CCGUCGCACCUACCGAUUGAAUGUUUCGGUGAAGAUUCCGGACUGUGGCUCGCGUGCUUCACGGCGCUCUUGCCGUGGGAAGUUAUCUAAACCUCAACAUUUAGAGGAAGGUGAAGUCGUAACAAGGUUUCCGUAGGUGAACCUGCGGAAGGAUCAUU
rnacentral:rRNA from 5 species